UAAAAAAUCUCUUCCCAAUAAGUAACGAUUUUUUUUAUGCUAAACCAUAAUCCUCUCUCUCAAGUUCCUCAUUCCUCCACUCUCUUCCAUCUCUCACGUUUCAUCUUCUGCUUUUUUUUUUCCACUUCCACCCUUCUUUUUCUUCUUCUUGCAUAGAGUAGGUUCUAUCACUGAUAAUUCAGGUUCUAUCACUAAUAGUCCUUCUUUGAAACUGAAACCGGUUAAUUUUGAUUAGUCAAUAGAUUUUGGAUUAGUUAAAAACAUUUUGGGAUUAGUUUGGGUUUAUUUUUGCAGGUGGUUAAGGGCGGAAUAUUGCAGAUGAACUCGAUCUACGGUAGUCAAAGAAGUAGGCAACAGAGGUGGUGGUUGUUUUGCUGAUGGAUCUGAAGAUCUACACACAGAAUAUGGUCUCAAAUUCCUCAACAAUUUCCUCUCCGGAAAAACCUUUAUCUCUGGGGAUCAAUUAACAAAGGCUGAUAUAAAGGUUUAUGGAGCUGUUACUGAGAAAAUUGAUUAUUUGAAAUAACCCGUCUAGAUUCGGCCACUGCCGCUGUCGAUUGUGUUUCCACCAUCACACAAACCUCCAUCGUCACAACUCAUCAAAUACAACCAUAACAAAUAUGCCAUUUCUUCCACCAUGAAAAUACUGCUACAUUUCUAGUCACGACAAGUCGGUUUUUGGACUAGAGCAUGGCUCAAAACUGGAGUAGGUUCAUUGGCACGAUAGGAAUUAAUUGGAUGCGGCUCAACUGCAGUAGCGAUCGAAGAGUUGAAGGUCUCGAUUGAAAGCUCAAGCUCCACAGAAAACUUGAAGCGAAUGUUGUAACA